GACGAACGCUGGCGGCGUGCCUAACACAUGCAAGUUGAGCGACGAACCAGGGCUUGCCCUGGGGCAAAGCAGCGAACGGGUGAGUAACACGUGGGUAACGUGCCCCGAUAACCGGGACAACCCGAGGAAACUCGGGCUAAUACCGGAUGUGCCCACCGGACACCAGUCCGGUGUGUAAAGGAAGCUUCGGCCUCCGUAUCGGGAGCGGCCCGCGGCCCAUUAGCUAGUUGGUGAGGUAACGGCUCACCAAGGCAACGAUGGGUAGCUGGUCUGAGAGGACGAUCAGCCACACUGGGACUGAGACACGGCCCAGACUCCUACGGGAGGCAGCAGUGGGGAAUCUUGCGCAAUGCGCGAAAGCGUGACGCAGCAACGCCGCGUGGGGAAGAAGGCCUC
rnacentral:rRNA from 1 species